rnacentral:rRNA from 1 species
GACGAACGCUGGCGGCGUGCUUAACACAUGCAAGUCGAACGGAAAGGCCUCUUUCGGGGGGUACUCGAGUGGCGAACGGGUGAGUAACACGUGAGUAACCUGCCCUUGUCUUUGGGAUAACUUCAGGAAACUGGGGCUAAUACCGGAUAGGAGCUCCUGCUGCAUGGUGGGGGUUGGAAAGUUUCGGCGGUUGGGGAUGGACUCGCGGCUUAUCAGCUUGUUGGUGGGGUAGUGGCUUACCAAGGCUUUGACGGGUAGCCGGCCUGAGAGGGUGACCGGCCACAUUGGGACUGAGAUACGGCCCAGACUCCUACGGGAGGCAGCAGUGGGGAAUAUUGCACAAUGGGUGGAAGCCUGAUGCAGCAACGCCGUGUGCGGGAUGACGGCCUUCGGGUUGUAAACCGCUUUCGCUCAUGACGAAGCUUUGUGUGACGGUAGUGGGUAAAGAAGCACCGGCUAACUACGUG